rnacentral:piRNA from 1 species
UAAGCAAGAUUUUGUUUUAGUUUUUUCAA